ACGCUGGCGGCAGGCUACACAUGCAAGUCGAACGGUAGCACAGAGAGCUUGCUCUCGGGUGACGAGUGGCGGACGGGUGAGUAAUGUCUGGGAAACUGCCUGAUGGAGGGGGAUAACUACUGGAAACGGUAGCUAAUACCGCAUAACGUCGCAAGACCAAAGAGGGGGACCUUCGGGCCUCUUGCCAUCAGAUGUGCCCAGAUGGGAUUAGCUAGUAGGUGGGGUAACGGCUCACCUAGGCGACGAUCCCUAGCUGGUCUGAGAGGAUGACCAGCCACACUGGAACUGAGACACGGUCCAGACUCCUACGGGAGGCAGCAGUGGGGAAUAUUGCACAAUGGGCGCAAGCCUGAUGCAGCCAUGCCGCGUGUAUGAAGAAGGCCUUCGGGUUGUAAAGUACUUUCAGCGAGGAGGAAGGCGAUACGGUUAAUAACCGUGUCGAUUGACGUUACUCGCAGAAGAAGCACCGGCUAACUCCGUGCCAGCAGCCGCGGUAAUACGGAGGGUGCAAGCGUUAAUCGGAAUUACUGGGCGUAAAGCGCACGCAGGCGGUCUGUCAAGUCGGAUGUGAAAUCCCCGGGCUCAACCUGGGAACUGCAUUCGAAACUGGCAGGCUUGAGUCUUGUAGAGGGGGGUAGAAUUCCAGGUGUAGCGGUGAAAUGCGUAGAGAUCUGGAGGAAUACCGGUGGCGAAGGCGGCCCCCUGGACAAAGACUGACGCUCAGGUGCGAAAGCGUGGGGAGCAAACAGGAUUAGAUANCCUGGUAGUCCACGCCGUAAACGAUGUCGACUUGGAGGUUGUGCCCUUGAGGCGUGGCUUCCGGAGCUAACGCGUUAAGUCGA
rnacentral:rRNA from 1 species